UAAAAUUAAAGUGGUUUUAGAAGCUGAAAGAAGAGCCAGAAACAUCCAGACAAAGCCAAUAAUCCAACUUCAUUCAUGACCUUGUCUAUUUUUGCUAAAUACUAAGUGACCUCAUAACCACCAAAAUACUUAAAAGAUAUUUUCACCAAAAAGAGCCACAAGAAAACGUUGCCAGCUAUCUUGUAAUCAAUACGACUUGACGUUCCACCACACAGGUUUUUUUCUCUUUUUCCUUUUUCCCCUCUAAGGCUUAAGCUCUAACCCAGAAAUAUAAUUAGGUAUAAAAAUAAACAAAUAUAUAAAUAAAUUACCUUGAAGAUGCAGGUGCGGCAGCGAGACACGUAUCAACAAUCUCCGAGCAC
rnacentral:lncRNA from 1 species